AGAGUUUGAUCCUGGCUCAGGAUGAACGCUAGCGGCAGGCUUAAUACAUGCAAGUCGUGGGGCAGCACAGUGUAGCAAUACAUGGGUGGCGACCGGCAAACGGGUGCGGAACACGUACGCAACCUUCCUUUAACUGGAGAGUAGCCCGGGGAAACCCGGAUUAAUACUCCGUAACAUUAUGAAGUGGCAUCACUUUAUAAUUAUAGCUCCGGCGGUUGAAGAUGGGCGUGCGUCUGAUUAGGUAGUUGGCGGGGUAACGGCCCACCAAGCCUACGAUCAGUAACUGGUGUGAGAGCACGACCAGUCACACGGGCACUGAGACACGGGCCCGACUCCUACGGGAGGCAGCAGUAAGGAAUAUUGGUCAAUGGACGCAAGUCUGAACCAGCCAUGCCGCGUGGAGGAUGAAGGUCCUCUGGAUUGUAAACUUCUUUUAUUUGGGAAGAAACCCCCGAUUUCUAUUGGGGUUGACGGUACCAGAUGAAUAAGCACCGGCUAACUCCGUGCCAGCAGCCGCGGUAAUACGGAGGGUGCAAGCGUUAUCCGGAUUCACUGGGUUUAAAGGGUGCGUAGCGGGUUGGUAAGUCCGUGGUGAAAUCUCCAAGCUUAACUUGGAAACUGCCGUGGAUACUAUCAAUCUUGAAUAUAGUGGAGGUGAGCGGAAUAUGUCAUGUAGCGGUGAAAUGCUUAGAUAUGACAUAGAACACCCAUUGCGAAGGCAGCUCGCUACACUAUUAUUGACGCUGAGGCACGAAAGCGUGGGGAUCAAACAGGAUUAGAUACCCUAGUAGUCC
rnacentral:rRNA from 1 species